rnacentral:rRNA from 1 species
AUGGAAGUCCACAAGGUCAAGAUGGCAAGCUUGUGCUUAAUUUUGCUCAUGGCACUCCUCUUGCUUCCUGCAGGAUCUGAAGGCGCCUGCAGGGGGUUAAGCCAGACGUACCAAACUGACCAAUGCAAGGGUGACCAAUGCACAGAGCACUGCGAACAUGAGAAUUUCCCGUAUGCGGAGUGUGACACGGACCAUCAAUAUCCUGAACUUAGUUACUGCGUCUGCUUCUUUCCAUGCUGA